GUCACAAUUCCGUCACAAAUAUGUGACGGAUUUGUGACGGCUAUUUCCACCAUAAAUCAUAAAAAAGAAACAAACCCUAAUUUCCCUUUGCCAAAGCCACUUCCUGUGGUAAAAAGGGACAUUUUGCCAAAAUUAAAAACAAAGAUACCAAUCUCUCAAAUUAGAUCCUACCAUCACAUUAUCAUCGCUCCUCUUUCUUUUUUCCUUGACCUAAUUUUCUCUUUUCUUUCUCAAGUGCAAACAGUUGUGCUCCUUCCUUUCUCCGCCGCUGUCCAAAUAUGAAGCUGAAGCUUUCUCUUCCGCCUCCUGAUAAAGAAUCUUUCGCUAAAUUCUUAACUCAAAGCUGUACUUUUAUGGAUGGCGAUCUGCUUGUUAAUCGCGAUAGGGUUCGUAUUGUCUCUCAAAUUAAACCUGAAGCUCUAUAAAACGUUCGGGUUAUAUAAAAUCAACGAAACUAUCACGAACAGUGAAAACAAAAGCUGGAAAAGAUAUACCCCCAACGUCAAUACCCUCAACACAACCAAGAAGACCGCCAGCUGUAGCAGUAGUUUUUGCAAAUUUUUCUAUUAUAUAAGCUUCGUACUUGUAAGAAUCCUUUUAUAUAUGUAUAAAUACUAGUCUGUAUAAUUGAUGAAUAGCUAUAAUUAAUUUUAUUUUGUUCUUUUUCCAUUA